rnacentral:rRNA from 1 species
GACGAACGCUGGCGGCGUGCCUAAUACAUGCAAGUCGAACGCAGUGGGGACGGGUGAGUAACACGUGGGUAACCUCCCCAUCAGAGGGGAUAACACUUGGAAACCGGUGCUAAACCGAUACUGAUGGAUGGACCCGCGGUGCAUUAGCUAGUUGGUGAGGUAACGGCGCACCAAGGCAACGAUGCAUAGCCGGCCUGAGAGGGUGAGCGGCCACACUGGAACUGAGAAACGGCCCAGACGCCUACGGGAGGCAGCAGUAGGGAAUAGUGGGCAAUGGGCGAAAGUCUGACCGAGCAAUGCCGCGUGAGUGAAGAAGGGUUUCGGAUCGUAAAACUCUGUUGUUAGAGAAGCGGUAUCUAACCAGAAAGCCACGGCUAACUACGUGCCAGCAGCCGCGGUAAUAC